GAUGAAGAACGUAGUGAAAUGCGAUAAGUAAUGUGAAUUGCAGAAUUCAGUGAAUCAUCGAAUCUUUGAACGCACAUUGCGCCCGCCAGUAUUCUGGCGGGCAUGCCUGUUCGAGCGUCAUUUCAACCAUCAAGCCCCAGGCUUGUGUUGGGAACCUGCGGCUGCCGCAGGCCCUGAAAACCAGUGGCGGGCUCGCUGUCACACCGGGCGUAGUAGAUUUUAUCUCGCUCAGGGCGUGCUGCGGGUUCCGGCCGUUAAAAAGCCUUUUUUACCCAAGGUUGACCUCGGAUCAGGUAGGAAGACCCGCUGAACUUAAGCAUAUCAAUAAGCGGAGGA
rnacentral:misc_RNA from 1 species